ensembl:lncRNA
GUGAGUACUAAGAGCCAGUCGAAAGUGCCCUGUAUAUUGACCUGGCGUUGUGUAGAUCUCUCCAGGAGGAGGAGGGCGGCCCUACCCCUAAUAUAGCGUGGUGGGAGAGCCGAAGGAAUACUUAUUGAAGUAGUCACAACGACGACAUCACUAGCUAGGCCGCAUAUUCCAUCGCCAGAUCCGAACCAAGCGAAGUGAAGGAAGACGGGUGUCCUUUUCGUACACUGAGUGUGGUGGGUGAGUCUUCGUGCUGUGAAAACCUAUAAUUUUGACGUGGUGUUGUAUAUUGCUGUGGGCUGCUGUGUAUUGCCGUGUGUCCUGUCAGAUAAACCCCCGCCUUCACGCACUUCGUCGCGGGAGGACAAGGAGACUGCUGGUCCUAGCCUAGUUCAGUACAGUAUAUGUUGUGAGCGUGCUUCAGAUCUCCGGAGAUAGCACGGUACGCUGUGUCCAGCCCAGAGGUGAGAGCCAUUCAAAGCAAACUAACUGUGCUAUUGUGCCCAAGUUGAUACCUGUGGAGAGAAAAGGAAAGAGAGAGUGAGUAACACAAGGAGAACCAGAGGGAACCUGUACUUACAGUACGCUGUGUCCAGCCCAGAGGUGAGAGCCAUUCAAAGCAAACUAACUGUGCUAUUGUGCCUAAGUUGAUACCUGUGGAGAGAAAAGGAGAGAGAGUGGGUAACACGAGGAGAGACCGAGGAAAACUGUACUUACGCCGCUACCUGUGGAGAAAGAGAAAGCGAGUGAGCACCCAAGGAACGAACUGUGUGAACCAGUACUUACCGUGAGCUGUAUUCAGCGAAGAGGAGGAAGAAGGAGGGCGCUACGGAUACCUAAGACUCAGGCCGGGGCCCGAGUCCCACGCCCCGGAUCCCCGUGGCCCCCUUUCUCCCUGACCUCUUCCCGGCCAUAGCCCAUCUGGAGGGCCGAGUCAGAGUUUAGUUUUAAUUGCCCUUUCCCUAUUCCCCAAGCUAUUUUUAAAUAUUUAAAUAAAGAUUGUUUUAUCAUUUAUUUGUUCUCGUGUUGUUUGGCCAUUGGGUUGGCUUUGGGGACCUCCUCGAGGUGGAAGUUGAGAAGGGGUGUGGCUUAGUCAAAGCAUAGCCAGCCCCUGGGUGUGACAUUUACA